rnacentral:tRNA from 2 species
GGAGAGUUGGCUGAGUGGUCGAAGGCGCACGACUGGAAAUCGUGUAGGCGUGAUGAGCGUCUCCAGGGUUCAAAUCCCUGACUCUCCGCCA